ACGGAAGGCAGCAGUAAGGGAUAUUGGGCAAUGGGGGCUACCCUGACCCAGCCAUGCCGCGUGAGGGAAUGAGGCCCUACGGGUCGUGAACCUCUUUUGCACGGGGAUAACGGCGCCCACGUGAUGGGCGCGUGCAGGUACCGUGCGAAUAAGCAUCGGCUAACUCCGUGCCAGCAGCCGCGGUAAUACGGAGGAUGCGAGCGUUAUCCGGAUUCAUUGGGUUUAAAGGGUGCGCAGGCGGCGCGACAAGUCAGCGGUGAAAUCCGGGGGCCCAACCCCCGAAGUGCCGUUGAUACUGCCGCGCUGGAAUGCGGUCGAGGCGGGCGGAAUGUGGCGUGUAGCGGUGAAAUGCAUAGAUAUGCCACAGAACCCCGAUAGCGAAGGCAGCUCGCCAGUCCUGCAUUGACGCUCGGGCACGAAAGCGUGGGGAUCGAACAGGAUUAGAUACCCUGGUA
rnacentral:rRNA from 1 species